AGGGGCGUCGUAUAAUGGUAGUACGGGGGUCUCCAAAACCUCUAGCGCGGGUUCGAUUCCUGCCGCCCCUGCCA
rnacentral:tRNA from 1 species